rnacentral:rRNA from 1 species
CCUACGGGCAGCUGCAGUGGGGGAUAUUGGGCAAUGGACGCAAGUCUGACCCAGCAACGCCGCGUGGGGGAAGAAGGCUUUCGGGUUGUAAACUUCUUUCAAGGGGGAAGAGCAUAAGACGGUACCCCUUGAAUAAGCCACGGCUAACUACGUGCCAGCAGCCGCGGUAAUACGUAGGUGGCAAGCGUUGUCCGGAUUUACUGGGUGUAAAGGGCGUGCAGCCGGAGAGACAAGUCAGAUGGGAAAUCCACGGGCUCAACCCGGGAACUGCAUUUGAAACUGUUUCCCUUGAGUGUCGGAGAGGUAAUCGGAAUUCCUGGUGUAGCGGUGAAAUGCGGAGAUAUAAGGAAGAACACCAGUGGCGAAGGCGGACUACUGGACUAUAACUGACGGUGAGGCGCGAAAGCGUGGGGAGCAAACAGGAUUAGAUACCCGGGUAGUC